UACGUAGGGUGCAAGCGUUGUCCGGAAUUAUUGGGCGUAAAGAGCUCGUAGGCGGUUUGUCGCGUCUGCUGUGAAAUCCCGAGGCUCAACCUCGGGUCUGCAGUGGGUACGGGCAGACUAGAGUGCGGUAGGGAGAUUGGAACUCCGUGGUGUAGCGGUGGAAUGCGCAGAUAUCAGGAAGAACACCGAUGGCGAAGGCAGAUCUCUGGGCCGUAACUGACGCUGGAGGAGCGAAAGCAUGGGGAGCGAACAGG
rnacentral:rRNA from 1 species